AGCAAAGAUGUAUGUUGCCCUCCAGGAAAUGUAAGGUGCUCAGAUGUAAUUAGGCUGACCUGUAUUUUCUUGGUAAACC
rnacentral:pre_miRNA from 17 species